rnacentral:sRNA from 1 species
UCUUUCCUUCUCAGUUUGUGACUGACCCAGCAGCCCCGUCCCCCGUCUGCCACAAGCAGUCCACCUCCUGGUGCUGUGUGCUACGUGCCAGCCGCUGCUCCUGCUGAGUGGAGACUCUGGCACCAGUGCCCACUGCGCUCUGCCUGCCGGUGGUGUCUGGAUUUCUAUAGGAAUCCCAGGAGGGUCUUACUGGAGGGUUGAGAGCCACCUGAUUGAAGGCGUUUGCAGUCAGAGUAAAGACGGCUGCCGCAGCAUGAACCCCUGAGCUGAUGAGUCUUAUUAUAGCCCGGCUGGCGGAAGACAGAGUGCUGCUAUUCACCUCUGCGUGGGCGUCGGUGGUGCAGGGGGAAGCAGCAGGCCAUCCAGCGGCUCACACCCUACACGGCUGCAGCUGCCAAGGGCCUGGCCCCUGCCUCCCUCGGGCCAUGGUGAGCUGUGGCGGGGCUGGAGAAACUGGGACCCAGGACUGACAGGCGGCGCACCCAGGGGCUCCUCUCUCCCCAGAGCGACAGGGCCCGGAGAGCCGUGGGCCUCACCAUGCUGGCGCCGGGCAGCAGCCCUGAGCAGAGGGGCAGGCUCGCCCUGCAGUGGAGGCAGGUCUCCUGGAUCACCUGCUGGAUUGCCCUGUAUGCUGUGGA